AGUGAACGCUGGCGAUAGGCCUAACACAUGCAAGUCGAACGGCAGCACAGUAAGAGCUUGCUCUUACGGGUGGCGAGUGGCGGACGGGUGAGGAAUACAUCGGAAUCUACUUUUUCGUGGGGGAUAACGUAGGGAAACUUACGCUAAUACCGCAUACGACCUACGGGUGAAAGCAGGGGAUCUUCGGACCUUGCGCGAUUGAAUGAGCCGAUGUCGGAUUAGCUAGUUGGCGGGGUAAAGGCCCACCAAGGCGACGAUCCGUAGCUGGUCUGAGAGGAUGAUCAGCCACACUGGAACUGAGACACGGUCCAGACUCCUACGGGAGGCAGCAGUGGGGAAUAUUGGACAAUGGGCGCAAGCCUGAUCCAGCCAUAACGCGUGGGUGAAGAAGGCCUUCGGGUUGUAAAGCCCUUUUGUUGGGAAAGAAAAGCAGCAGGUUAAUACCCCGCUGUUCUGACGGUACCCAAAGAAUAAGCACCGGCUAACUUCGUG
rnacentral:rRNA from 1 species